rnacentral:rRNA from 1 species
AUGGCUCCAUCCGAGGAGUGCGGCUGGCUGCUGUACGUUUCCCUCGCCGCCAAAUGCUGCGCCAACGGCGACGGCGAGCCUUACCGCGUGGUAGGCUUUGUUGCCGUUCUGCUCGCCGUCUUGGUCGUCACGUCGCUCCUGCACUGGGCGUCUCAGGGUGGUGCGGCGUGGGGGAGGUAUUGGUGGACGAGCAAGGGUCUGGGCAUUGGCGAGGCCCGUAUCGCGGGGCCACGGGGCUUCCCCGUGAUCGGCAGCAUGGGCCUCAUGACUGGCCUCGCCCACCGGAAGCUCGCGGCGGCGGCGUCGGGAAACGUCAGGCGCCGGCGGCUCAUGGCCUUCUCCAUGGGGGAGACCCGGGUGGUGGUGACCGCCGACCCUGACGUGGCGAGAGAGCUGCUGGCUAGCCCGGCGUUCGCCGACCGGCCGGUCAAGGAGUCCGCAUACGGGCUUAUGUUCCAUCGCGCCAUCGGGUUCGCCCCCUACGGCGCCUACUGGCGCACGCUCCGCCGGGUGUCGUCCUCGCACCUCUUCUCUCCGCGGCAGGUGGCCGCCUCCGCCGCGCAGCGCGCAGUGAUCGCGCGCCAGAUGGUGGAUGCCAUGAGGCCCGUCGGCGGCGCUGGCGUCAAGCACGUUGAGGCGCGGCGGUUCCUGAAACGCGCGUCGCUGCACAACGUGAUGUGGUCCGUUUUUGGCCGGGGGUACGAGCUGGACGAGGCGGGGAGCGGGGAGGCGGCGGAGCUGAAGAGCCUUGUCGACGAAGGCUACGACCUGCUCGGCCAGCUCAAUUGGUCCGACCACCUCCCGUGGCUCGCACGCUUCGACCUGCAGAAGAUCCGGUCCAGGUGCUCCGCCCUCGUCCCCCGCGUGAACCGCUUCGUCGGCAGGAUCAUCGACGAGCACCGUGCCGCCCGGAACGACGCCGUGGUAGACUUCACCGACGUUCUGCUCUCCCUCCAGGGCGGCGACAAACUCUCCGACGCCGACAUGAUCGCCGUUCUCUGGGAGAUGAUCUUUCGUGGCACCGACACCGUGGCAGUGGUGAUCGAAUGGGUGCUGGCCCGGCUGGUGCUGCACCAGGACGUGCAGGCAAGGGUCCAUGAGGAGCUGGACCGGGUUGUCGGGCCGAACCGGGCCGUGACUGAGUCGGACGCCGGCUCGCUCGUCUUUCUCCAGGCCGUGGUCAAGGAGGUCUUGCGCCUUCACCCACCAGGCCCACUGCUAUCGUGGGCGCGGCUUGCCACGUCGGACGUCCACGUAGGUGGGUUACUCGUCCCCGCGGGGACCACUGCCAUGGUCAACAUGUGGGCCAUAACCCACGACCCAGCCGUGUGGGACAAGCCGGCGGUGUUCAAGCCAGAACGGUUCCUCGCCGGGCCAUCGUCGGACCACGCCGCCGCAGGGGCUGAGUUCUUUGGAACGGGUUCCGAUCUCAGGCUCGCGCCGUUCGGGUCAGGCAGGCGGAGCUGCCCCGGCAAGUCACUCGCGAUCGCCACCGUUGGAUUCUGGGUUGCCACGCUGCUGCACGAGUUCGAGUGGACGCCGCCGGCGUCCAACGGGCCAGGUGGCGUAGACCUGUCUGAGGUGCUGAGGCUGUCGUGUGAGAUGGCAGCUCCGCUGGAGGCAAGGCUGAGGCCGAGGCGUGCUGUGUGA